rnacentral:rRNA from 1 species
CAUGCAAGUCGAACGGUGAAGGAGGGCUUGCCCUCCGGAUCAGUGGCGAACGGGUGAGUAACACGUGGGCAACCUGCCCCUCACUCUGGGAUAACUCCGGGAAACCGGGGCUAAUACCGGAUACGACCUGGUGCGACAUCACACCAGGUGGAAAGAACUUCGGUGAGGGAUGGGCCCGCGGCCUAUCAGCUUGUUGGUGGGGUAACGGCCCACCAAGGCGACGACGGGUAGCCGGCCUGAGAGGGCGACCGGCCACACUGGGACUGAGACACGGCCCAGACUCCUACGGGAGGCAGCAGUGGGGAAUAUUGCGCAAUGGGCGAAAGCCUGACGCAGCGACGCAGCGUGAGGGAUGACGGCCUUCGGGUUGUAAACCUCUUUCAGCGGGGACGAAGCGAGAGUGACGGUACCCGCAGAAGAAGCACCGGCUAACUACGUGCCAGCAGCCGCGGUAAUACGUAGGGUGCAAGCAUUGUCCGGAUUUAUUGGGCGUAAAGAGCUCGUAGGCGGCUAGUCACGUCGGGUGUGAAAACUCGGGGCUCAACCCCGAGCCUGCACUCGAUACGGGCUGGCUAGAGUGUUGCAGGGGAGACUGGAAUUCCUGGUGUAGCGGUGAAAUGCGCAGAUAUCAGGAGGAACACCGGUGGCGA